GCCAAAAGCCACAGCUUCGGCGGCUACGCGCAGCCCGCGCCCGCGCCCAAGCCGCUCCGGCUGCUCAGCAGGCAAGGUGACCUCGCGUCCAGCAGUUGGCGGCUGUCACCGUCCAGCUCGGGCUACAAGACGCUCAGCCUUCGCAGCACCGACUCGGUUACGCCGUCGCCUACCAGCGGAGCGAGUCCAGAGCCAUGUUUCGUGCCACCAGCGUGCCAGUUGGCACCGCGCUGCGUGCCCGGCGUCGUCUGGUGCGUCACCGACCUGUCCCGCGUGCCGCCCGGCGCCUGGCUGCUA